rnacentral:rRNA from 1 species
GAGCUUGCUCCUUUGACGUUAGCGGCGGACGGGUGAGUAACACGUGGGCAACCUACCUUAUAGUUUGGGAUAACUCCGGGAAACCGGGGCUAAUACCGAAUAAUCUGUUUCACCUCAUGGUGAAAUAUUGAAAGACGGUUUCGGCUGUCGCUAUAGGAUGGGCCCGCGGCGCAUUAGCUAGUUGGUGAGGUAACGGCUCACCAAGGCGACGAUGCGUAGCCGACCUGAGAGGGUGAUCGGCCACACUGGGACUGAGACACGGCCCAGACUCCUACGGGAGGCAGCAGUGGG